AAGACCUUACUUCAUAGGAUCAUUUCUAUAGUAAGCUCUUAACAAGACGCACACAUCAUGUGAUCCAAAUGAAAUUGGA